CCGUUUCUUUCUUUUCCUACUAUCUAGUAACGGCGAGUGAAGCGGUAAAAGCUCAAAUUUGAAAUCUGGUACUUUCAGUGCCCGAGUUGUAAUUUGUAGAAUUUGUCUUUGAUUAGGUCCUUGUCUAUGUUCCUUGGAACAGGACGUCAUAGAGGGUGAGAAUCCCGUUUGGCGAGGAUACCUUUUCUCUGUAAGACUUUUUCGAAGAGUCGAGUUGUUUGGGAAUGCAGCUCAAAGUGGGUGGUAAAUUCCAUCUAAAGCUAAAUAUUGGCGAGAGACCGAUAGCGAACAAGUACAGUGAUGGAAAGAUGAAAAGAACUUUGAAAAGAGAGUGAAAAAGUACGUGAAAUUGUUGAAAGGGAAGGGCAUUUGAUCAGACAUGGUGUUUUUUGCAUGCACUCGCCUCUCGUGGGCUUGGGCCUCUCAAAAAUUUCACUGGGCCAACAUCAAUUCUGGCAGCAGGAUAAAUCAUUAAGAAUGUAGCUACUUCGGUAGUGUUAUAGCUUUUUGGAAUACUGUUAGCCGGGAUUGAGGACUGCGCUUCGGCAAGGAUGUUGGCAUAAUGGUUAAAUGCCGCCCGUCUUGAAACACGGACCA
rnacentral:rRNA from 1 species